ACUUGGCUCUGAUCUAGGAGCAAGAAGUGAGGCAGGCCUUCCCAUGAGUCUUUCAGAUGCUAUGGGAGUCACUCCCAAAGUGUUCCCCUUUCAUUAGGGGAUGUGUAAAUUCACAUCCAUGGACAGUAAGUGCUCACAAAUCCCUCUGAACCCAGAGCAAUGCAUGCCUGCUCAUUGCCUUAUCACAGUUCUGAUGUGUCUCUUUUCACACAGCCCAGUUUGAAGCAGUGGUCUUGCCCGGGCCAUGGAGGCAGUCAGUGGAUGAGAUGGCUCCAGGAAACAACACCACAAAGUUAUCAGCGUGAAGUGAAUGAUGAUGUGGUGUCAUUCCCAGAAAGUCUUCUACUGUUGCUAUCUCGUGAUGCAUCUUGACAGUGUGAUGGCAUCCCACAGCUCUCUGUGCAUCUUCAGCUCUGUAAACCUGCGCUCUGUGAAUUCACUGGAGUCACUUGGACUAUGUUGAUGUGCACCAGUGGAGGACCUGACUCACUCUCUAGUGGCUGCUGUCUGAGCGAUUCGACAACCCUUCCUCUCUGUGCCCCAGGAGGGAGUUUUGCGGCAGAUGUGGUGGAUGUUGCGUUGGCGUUGGCACCGAGGUCAUUCUGCAUGCUCGAUGCACUCCCACUGCAAAAGGUACCAAGACAUAUUCAAAGUCAGUUUCUUGUCAAAAGAUGGAAGUAGAGGACAAAGCAGGAACAAAAACCUUCAUGGAGUGUAUCUUUUCUAUAUGGAAAUGUGACUUUGACCACUGCUUGCAUUAGGGUCAGGUUUUUAUUUCAAUACUGCAGAAGAAGACGCUCAUGGAUGGCUUUUUGCAACUGUUUUUUUUUUUUUAAUGUGAAUAUAGGAUUAACACAGGACGUUUUCUUUAAGUUAUGUGGUCUAAUCAAAAUACUAUUAAAAGUAAAAACUGAAGCUGAGUCUAUGAGUCUCCAAAGAACCUUUCUAGAAAAGCAUAGCUUUCCAGGUUUUGAAUAAAUUUUUCCUGCAGAAAUUGUUUAAUAUGUUUAGAUAUCUUCCUUUAGUUUAAACUGUCUCUACAAUUAUUUUAGAUGCUGAAAAAGAACAAACAAAAAAUCUCUUUUGCAUCAUGACCAUAGAAUUCAUAACUCAAACUAAAGCUACAACUGGGAGCACAGCUUUGUGCGACCCCAGGCACAACAUUAUGGACAUGGCGCUUUUACUGACAUAAAGUUUACAAUUUUAUUUAGGUUGUUAAGAGAAAAAAAAAGUUUUUUUGCUUGCCACAGUAAAUAGAGGUUCAUGCCAAAAAUAUCAGCUACAAAACUCCUGUUUUGCCCUUUGCUAUUUGUUCGUAAAAGCUUGCCAAGUGCACGACCCUCAUUAUGUACCUUGUUGUCAUAAUAACUGUGUGAGAACACCCCGCAAGUGCUUUGCUUCAAAGUGAGCUUCUGUGAGAAAGAGAAGCAAACAUAUGAUGCUUUCAACAGGCACUACUGAGAGCUCUGUUUGAGGACUGAUGUAUCAGCUGCUCAUCAGUGCAACUUUAGUACCAAAUACUUCGGGGAAGCUUUCGGAGGAAAGGGAGAAAAAGUGUGGGAGUAAGAAUAAUGGGCAAAAAUUAUUUUCAGGGUAGAUGUGCUGAAGUAAAUUGUGGUUUCACCAAAGAGAAGUUUGCCGUGUUGUGUUUGAGGCUUCUCGUUUAGGUUGAUUACAUAGCAACACAGAAUUGAUUUUCUUGAGCUUAGGACAGUUGGCAAACUUGACUAGACUUAAAAUGAACCUCUUUGAUUCUGUCUACAAAAUUAGAGCAGAUUUGAUAAAGUAAAGAUGUAUCCUUUGAAGUAUUCCCUAUCAACAUAAGUGCUAAGAACACUUGAGCGAAGGAAUUUUAACAGUUUUGAAAGCAGUAGCAAAAGAACAUCAAUAAGGAUUGCAGCUAAGGGCAUGCCCACAAGGCACUAUACUAACUGUAUCUAUCCUGCAGGCAAUAAGCAAUUGCUAAAGAUUCCAGACUUUUUAAAGUUCAUAGUUCAUCUCAUAAAAACUUUACAUGUAACUUAUGAUAGGAUUUUGCUGGAUGGGUUUGGCUUCCAUUACAUGACUCUAGGAGGGGUUUCUAAGUUGAUCUGCAUAUUAAGGACAUGAAGAAACUUUCUUUUUCUCUUGUAGCAAACGAUGAUUGAUGAUAGAUUGAUCUUGCAAGGUACAUAAAGUGUGCUCCUGUCCUGUUAUAUCAGGUUUUACACCCAUGAAGGUGAUGCACUUCCUCCAGGCACUUCAGCAGA